AGGAACACAAAUUCACCUUUAUAGUUCAGAAAAACCUUUCCUUCUUUUCUUCUCUUUGAAGGCUCAUCCAUAUUCACUAUUGAAAGUUCCUAUAGAUGGAAAUUAGGAUGGAAGCAAGGGUAUGUAGCUGUGAGAUUAAAGAUGAUGCUGAUGAUGAUGAAGACACCAAAUUCAAUGAUGAUUAACCAAUGAUAAUUGCAAGUUUAUUAACUUGCUUGAUCAUUUGGGCAACUGAAGAUCCUUUGGCAGUCACACUAUUACAAGAUCCUUGAUAUCUUCUAUGUAUACCUUUAUAUUUAUAAGGUUUCAAAAUAUUAAUUAAUUCCUCUAUAUGUAUGCAGUGUUAUAUUAAACAUUGUUAUGCAAGUUAUUGGUUGCUUACUAGAGAUUAUAAGUUAUUUUUUUGUGUCUUGUAUACCGUUUUGCUUUGUUUUAGGCUUUUAGCCACUUUUGUUGUUUUUCUUUUGAUGUAAUAAUUUUUGUUCUGUUUUGGCAUUUCAAAAGCUACCCAGAACAAUAAUUUACGAGAUAUAUCAUAUGACUAUGAGGGUAUAUUCUUAUGUCUGCGUAUUUUUCCUUGGUAUUAACGUGGUAUGAUUAAUUAAUUAAUUAUAAUUAAG
rnacentral:lncRNA from 1 species